GCUGCUAGCGGCUGGUGUGUGUCUUCAUCAUCGUCGAGCUGCGUCACGGUGAUGGAGAUAGGUAUGUCGCCUGGUAAGUUGUGUCACCGGCGGCAUGGAGGAGGUGGCCAUGGAGCGGAGGCCAUUACCAUAGGGAGUUCCAUGUGCGAGUCGUCGACAAGGUGCGUCAUCGUCGACAACAUGAAGGUGAGUCACCGGCGAGUUGUGUCACCGGUGA
rnacentral:lncRNA from 1 species